GGCCCUUGCCUGCGUGCUGUGGAGGCGCUUCUCCCCCAAGCCCGCAUCUGUGGCUGAGGCUUCCAAGUCUUGACAGAGUUGCUAAGAAACGGGAUAGUGCCCUCGGGGUAUAAAUGUGUGCUUCCCCAGGCAAAGAGGCGUCCCAAGCAUUUGAAGAGGGACACAGCUGCACCUAAAAACUAUGGCCGUUGCCAAACCCCGGAUGUAGCCGCAGUUUACCAAGAUUCAGAGGUCGUCACGAACUUCAAAAGUAGGCUGUUAGCUGAGAAGUUUUUAUAGGCCUGUGGCCUCUUAGUCUGUGGUCCAGGACUACUAGAAAAUGGAUGCAAGGCAUCUAAGUAACCGCUGGAAAUAAGAACCACGGAGUUGCCACUUCGGAGCUCCACCUCUGGGUUCCCUCUCGGCUACACGCACGAGGAGGGCAGCUUUCCCUCACAGACUCCCUAAGGCUCGAUCGGAAUUGCUGCCUCGUAGGGGCUGUGUAGGAAGACCUGGCCAGAGAAGCUGCUGCAGGAACAUUCUCCUACCUUCCGCCUCUGUUCUGCCUUGUUCUCUGCCUGUGAUCAGAAAGAAAGCCGACUCAGAAACCACUGAAUGUUGAGCUUCUCUGUCUCAUACUAGUCAGGAACUGGAGACCUCUCAGAGACCUUCUACAAAAGAAUGGAAACAGAACCCUCCUUCUUGGUCACUUUCCUGACUCCUGGCUGGGAUUUAGAGAAACCCUACAGAUCUUUCUCUGCAGCAGGGGAACGACAAACAUGGAUAUUUUCAAUGAGACAUAAUUUGAUGUCCAACCAGAAAAUGACAUACAAUUUACUAAUACCAAUUUUAGUCAC